rnacentral:rRNA from 1 species
AGCGAACGCUGGCGGCAGGCCUAACACAUGCAAGUCGAACGAAGUCUUCGGAUUUAGCGGCGGACGGGUGAGUAACACGUGGGAACGGACCUUUUGGUUCGGAACAACUCAGUGAAAGAUGAGCUAAUACCGGCUGAGCCCUUAGGGGGAAAGAUUUAUCGACGAAAGAGCGGCCCGCGUUAGAUUAGCUAGUUGGGGAAGUAAAGGCUGACCAAGGCUACGAUCUAUAUCUGGUAUGCGAGGAUGAUCAGCCACACUGGGACUGAGACACGGCCCAGACUCCUACAGGAGGCAGAAGUGGGGAAUCUUGCGCAAUGGGCGAACGCCAAACACAGCCAUGCCGAGUGAAUGAUGAAGGUCUUAGGAUUGUAAAAUUCUUUUACCAGGGACGAUAAUGACGGUACCUGGAGAAAAAGCCCCGGCUAACUUCGUGCCAGCCGCCGCCGUAAUAC